rnacentral:rRNA from 1 species
AUGGCCGCCUCCUUUCAGUUCGCGCCGAUGCGUUUCCGGUUGCCCCGUUGCCAGCAUCUCCCAUCCACGACGCUCCCCUCUGCUCGUCUUAUUGCUACCCCCUGCAAGCCUGCGUCGCCAUGGUCCAUGGCGUCGACGCCGGCGAACCCCUCACCCCCGGACGACUCUCCAUGUCUCCUCCAUCUCCGCGCAUGCCUCCCGCCUCGCUGCGGCCGCCAGAUGUGA